AACAACAGAUCCUGCAAUAAAUAAUUAAAGAAUCUCAUUUGAUUUUCUUUCCUCUUUGUUUUGUUGUAGGUUUAUAGCUAAACCCUGUGCCUUAGGUCUUAAAGUCCAGGCGAAUGGACCACAGAAAGCCCAACCUAAUGCUAUUCUGGAAAAAGUUUUCAUUGCAAUUACAAAGCAUCCAGAUGAGAAGAGACUGGAAGGCCUCUCCAAGCAGCUGGACUGGGAUGUACGCAGUAUUCAGCGUUGGUUUCGACAAAGACGCAACCAGGAAAAGCCCAGCACUCUUACAAAGUUCUGUGAAAGCAUGUGGAGAUUUACAUUUUAUCUUUAUAUAUUUACCUAUGGAGUCCGGUUCCUGAAAAAGGUAGGAGCUCUCAUUAUUGUAUUAUGCUUUUAUAACCAGUUACAAAUCUGUUUAAAGU
rnacentral:lncRNA from 1 species